UACGAAGGGGGCUAGCGUUGCUCGGAAUCACUGGGCGUAAAGGGUGAGUAGGCGGGUCUUUAAGUCAGGGGUGAAAUCCUGGAGCUCAACUCCAGAACUGCCUUUGAUACUGAGGAUCUUGAGUCCGGGAGAGGUGAGUGGAACUGCGAGUGUAGAGGUGAAAUUCGUAGAUAUUCGCAAGAACACCAGUGGCGAAGGCGGCUCACUGGCCCGGUACUGACGCUGAGGCACGAAAGCGUGGGGAGCAAACAGG
rnacentral:rRNA from 1 species